rnacentral:rRNA from 1 species
UACGUAGGGUGCGAGCGUUGUCCGGAGUUAUUGGGCGUAAAGAGCUCGUAGGCGGCCUGUCACGUCGGCUGUGAAAACCCGCGGCUCAACCGCGGGCCGGCAGUCGAUACGGGGAGGCUCGAGUCCGGCAGGGGAGUCUGGAAUUCCUGGUGUAGCGGUGAAAUGCGCAGAUAUCAGGAGGAACACCGGUGGCGAAGGCGGGACUCUGGGCCGGCACUGACGCUGAGGAGCGAAAGCGUGGGGAGCGAACAGG